rnacentral:rRNA from 1 species
UCCUACGGGAGGCAGCAGUGAGGAAUAUUGGUCAAUGGACGGAAGUCUGAACCAGCCAAGUAGCGUGAAGGAUGACUGCCCUCUGGGUUGUAAACUUCUUUUAUACGGGAAUAACAUGAGGUACGGGUACCUUAUUGCAUGUACCGUUAUGAAUAAGCAUCGGCUAACUCCGUGCCAGCAGCCGCGGUAAU